rnacentral:tRNA from 14 species
GCGCUCGUAGCUCAACUGGAUAGAGCGUCGGACUUCGGAUCCGAUGGUUGCGGGUUCAAGUCCUGCCGGGCGCGCCA